rnacentral:rRNA from 1 species
GACGAACGCUGGCGGCGUGCUUAACACAUGCAAGUCGAACGAAGAGCGAUGGAAGCUUGCUUCUAUCAAUCUUAGUGGCGAACGGGUGAGUAACGCGUAAUCAACCUGCCCUUCAGAGGGGGACAACAGUUGGAAACGACUGCUAAUACCGCAUACGAUCUAAUCUCGGCAUCGAGGAUAGAUGAAAGGUGGCCUCUACAUGUAAGCUAUCACUGAAGGAGGGGAUUGCGUCUGAUUAGCUAGUUGGAGGGGUAACGGCCCACCAAGGCGAUGAUCAGUAGCCGGUCUGAGAGGAUGAACGGCCACAUUGGGACUGAGACACGGCCCAGACUCCUACGGGAGGCAGCAGUGGGGAAUCUUCCGCAAUGGACGAAAGUCUGACGGAGCAACGCCGCGUGAGUGAUGACGGCCUUCGGGUUGUAAAGCUCUGUUAAUCGGGACGAAAGGCCUUCUUGCGAAUAGUUAGAAGGAUUUGACGGUACCGGAAUAGAA